AUGAAGACACCCAUUGGAGCUUUAAUCAUGUUCUUAUGGCUGCAGCUGGACUGUGUCAGCCUUGGGAACAAGGUGGAGCAGAGUCCUUCUACCCUGAGUGUCCAGGAGGGAAACAGCUCUGUUAUCACCUGCACUUAUACAGACACAGCUUCAGACUACUUCCCUUGGUAUAAGCAAGAACCUGGGAAAGGUCCCCAGCUCCUUGUAGCUAUUCAUUCAAAUAUGGGUGAAAAAAAAGACCAGAGACUGACUGUUUUAUUGAAUAAGACCGCCAAACAUCUCUCCCUGCACAUCGCAACCAUCCAGCCUGGAGACUCGGCUGUCUACCUCUGUGCAGCAAG